UACGGGGGGGGCAAGCGUUGUUCGGAAUUACUGGGCGUAAAGGGCGCGUAGGCGGCCUUCUAAGUCGGACGUGAAAUCCCUCGGCUUAACCGAGGAACUGCGUCCGAUACUGAAAGGCUUGAAUCCGGGAGAGGGAUGUGGAAUUCCAGGUGUAGCGGUGAAAUGCGUAGAUAAUCUGGAGGAAUACCGGUGGCGAAGGCGGCAUCCUGGACCGGCAUUGACGCUGAUGAGCGAAAAGCUAGGGGAGCAAACGGGG
rnacentral:rRNA from 1 species